rnacentral:rRNA from 1 species
AUUGAACGCUGGCGGCAUGCCUAACACAUGCAAGUCGAACGGCAGCACGGCAGUAGCAAUACUGUGGGUGGCGAGUGGCGGACGGGUGAGGAAUACGUCGGAAUCUGCCCAGUCGUGGGGGAUAACUAGCCGAAAGGUUAGCUAAUACCGCAUACGACCGGGAGGUGAAAGCGGGGGACCGCAAGGCCUCGCGCGAUUGGAUGAGCCGACGUCGGAUUAGCUAGUUGGUGGGUAAAGGCCACCAAGGCGACGAUCCGUAGCUGGUCUGAGAGGAUGAUCAGCCACACUGGAACUGAGACACGGUCCAGACUCCUACGGAGGCAGCAUGGGGAAUAUUGGACAAUGGGCGCAAGCCUGAUCCAGCAAUGCCGCGUG